rnacentral:rRNA from 1 species
GACGAACGCUGGCGGCGUGCUUAACACAUGCAAGUCGAACGGAAAGGCCCUGCUUUUGUGGGGUGCUCGAGUGGCGAACGGGUGAGUAACACGUGAGUAACCUGCCCUUCACUUUGGGAUAACUUCAGGUAACUGGGGCUAAUAUCGGAUAGGAUCUCCUGCUGCAUGGUGGGGGUUGGAAAGUUUCGGCGGUUGGGGCUGGACUCGCGGCUUAUCAGCUUGUUGGUGGGGUAGUGGCUUACCAAGGCUUUGACGGGUAGCCGGCCUGAGAGGGUGACCGGCCACAUUGGGACUGAGAUACGGCCCAGACUCCUACGGGAGGCAGCAGUGGGGAGUAUUACACAAUGGGCGGGAGCCUGAUGCAGCAACGCCGCGUGCGGGAUGACGGCCUUCGGGGUGUAAACCGCUUUCGCCUGUGACGAAGCGUGAGUGACGGUAAUGGGUAAAGAAGCACCGGCUAACUACGUG